AACGAACGCUGGCGGCAGGCUUAACACAUGCAAGUCGAACGGGUGUAGCAAUACAUCAGUGGCAGACGGGUGAGUAACACGUGGGAACCUUCCUAGGGGUACGGAACAACUCAGGGAAACUUGAGCUAAUACCGUAUACGUCCGUGAGGAGAAAGAUUUAUCGCCCUUAGACGGGCCCGCGUCGGAUCAGCUAGUUGGUGGGGUAACGGCCUACCAAGGCGACGAUCCGUAGCUGAUCCUAGAGGAUGAUCAGCCACACUGGGACUGAGACACGGCCCAGACUCCUACGGGAGGCAGCAGUGGGGAAUCUUGGACAAUGGGCGCAAGCCUGAUCCAGCCAUGCCGCGUGAGUGAAGAAGGUCUUCGGAUUGUAAAGCUCUUUUGCCAGGGACGAUAAUGACGGUACCUGGAGAAUAAGCCCCGGCAAACUUCGUGCCAGCAGCCGCAGUAAGAC
rnacentral:rRNA from 1 species